rnacentral:tRNA from 1 species
UGGGAGGUCGUCUAAGGGUAGGACAUCACCCUUUGGAGGUGAGUAUGAAGGUUCGAAUCCUUCCCUCCCAG